rnacentral:rRNA from 1 species
GAGGGCGCAGAGAAUAGGUCCAGGCAACUGUUUAACAAAAACACAGGGCUGUGCAAAAUUGAAAGAUUACGUAUACAGCCUGACACCUGCCCGGUGCUGGAAGGUUAAGAGGAGAUGUCAUCGCAAGAGAAGCAUUGAAUUGAAGCCCCAGUAAACGGCGGCCGUAACUAUAACGGUCCUAAGGUAGCGAAAUUCCUUGUCGGGCAAGUUCCGACCUGCACGAAUGGCAUAAUGAUGGCCACACUGUCUCCUCCUGAGACUCAGUGAAGUUGAAAUGUUUGUGAUGAUGCAAUCUCCCCGCGGCUAGACGGAAAGACCCCAUGAACCUUUACUGCAGCUUUGCAUUGGACUUUGAACCGAUCUGUGUAGGAUAGGUGGGAGGCAGUGAAGCUAGGACGCCAGUCUUAGCGGAGCCAACCUUGAAAUACCACCCUGAUUUGUUUGAGGUUCUAACCUAGGAGCGUAAUCCGCUUCGGGGACCGUGCAUGGUAGGCAGUUUGACUGGGGCGGUCUCCUCCUAAAGGGUAACGGAGGAGUGCGAAGGUACGCUAGGUACGGUCGGAAAUCGUGCUGAUAGUGCAAUGGCAAAAGCGUGCUUGACUGCGAGACCGACAAGUCGAGCAGAUACGAAAGUAGGUCAUAGUGAUCCGGUGGCUCUGCAUGGAAGGGCCAUCGCUCAACGGAUAAAAGGUACUCUGGGGAUAACAGGCUGAUACCGCCCAAGAGUUCAUAUCGACGGCGGUGUUUGGCACCUCGAUGUCGGCUCAUCUCAUCCUGGGGCUGUAGCCGGUCCCAAGGGUAUGGCUGUUCGCCAUUUAAAGAGGUACGUGAGCUGGGUUUAAAACGUCGUGAGACAGUUUUGUCCCUAUCUGCCGUGGGCGUUGGAAGAUUGACGGGGGCUGCUCCUAGUACGAGAGGACCGGAGUGGACUCACCUCUGGUGUACCGGUUGUCACGCCAGUGGCAUCGCCGGGUAGCUAUGUGGGGAAAGGAUAACCGCUGAAAGCAUCUAAGCGGGAAACCUGCCUGAAGAUAAGUCUUCCUGGAGGCUAGACCUCCCUGAAGAGUCGUUCGAGACCAGGACGUUGAUAGGUUGGAUGUGCAAGCGCUGUGAGGCGUUGAGCUGACCAAUACUAAUUGCUCGUGAAGCUUGAUCCU